GACCGGGGCUCUCCGUCCGCUGACUCUGCGAGCCGAGCGCUCCUCGUGGGGGCUCCUGUGCACCGAGGAUGCUCCGGGGUAUCCCUGACCUCCUGUCGCCGCUGGAUCCCGGCCCGCCCCGCUCCCCAGUGAUGGCAGCCGCAGCCGUCUCCAAAUAGCCCCCGGGAGCCAGGUCGCCCGCGCUGAGAACCGCGGCCCGAGAACGAGACGAGCUCGGCGCCCGUUUCCGCGUCAGGGGCCGGCGUCCUGUUUGCCUUCAGCCCUCAACUCGAGUGCUGACUCCUUGUGAGCGUUUCUUCACCAGCCCGUCUGGAGGGGAUCCUCGCCCAUCCCGCUGUUCUGUUUCGGUUUCUCCACAGUGUCCGCCACGUUUUUUUGUUUGUUUGUUCCUUUGUCCCCACCACGUCCGUGGUCCCCACAGUUAUGAGCUCCAUGAUCUCACGGAGCUGGUUGUGUGUUUCGGUCCUCACCACGCCCCCUCCCUGCACCUGCACCGGUGCGUGGCACGUGGUGGCGUGGAAGAGUGCCCCCCAGAAACGGCGUGGCUUCGGAAGUUUGGGACCCGGGGCUGCUUCCCGAUCCUUAACUGCAGCCAAAACGCGGAGGAAGCAGUUACCUAGGAAGUGGGAUUGCCGGGACUCCUGUGAUGUUCUACAGCGGAUAAUCCGUAUCCACAUUUCACCAGGGGAAAAAACAGAGCCCUUCAGGUUUCCUGUCCAGGACCUCACAUCUAGUAAGCUUUGGAAAUCAGACCUGAGUAAAAGGCUCAUAACUGAUUCCUAGUCCAGAGCUUGCCCCGCACUCCAGCUGUCAAAAACCUACGAGUGUUUGUCGUACCUAAGAGUAUUUGUCGUAAGACUGAUGAGAUGAUACACUCAGGCAAAGGGCGGAAUAACAUUAGCAUUAACCAUGGAAUGAAAAUAAAGCCAUUGAAUGCCUUGUUACCAUA